AGGGGGAGGGAAGGGCUGCCAUCCACGGCUGAUGGGAAAUGCCCAAGUUAAGGACUGGAAAUGGGCUGCCCAACAUACGUGCCCCCACAUCCCUUCACAAAAGCGUUUGCAGUCGAACCUCAUAGAACUAUCUCCUGUGGAAGCGCUAUUGCAAAGAGGUGUUUUCUAGGAAAAUAUGUCUUUCUGCUUUGAGUGGGGAUGAUGCUACACUUUCAGUGACUCCGCAAGCGAGCUGUGACUGUGCCCCAGCCAUACCAGUCACUGUAGAAGAUUCCUGAAUACCCUGAUUUGUUUUUGUCUGCUUUGGUUCCCCAAACCACUGAAUUCACAGCGUGUUCAGCUGACAGGCAAAUAGCCCAGGUUUUGUGUUUUUAACACAUCGCUGGGAGCAGACCGACUAUAAGUCCUCCUGGCCCAGUCUGCCGUGGAGAGCUGCAAAGCCAUGGCAGUGCACAGACCACGUGGAAAGAAAGAUGGAAAUGCUUUAGACAAGCAUUAGCCUUGGAAAAGAAGUAAAGAUUGCCUCUGUCUUAAGCAGGAAUUUCCAAAGAAAUUGCAAACAGACAUGUCUUAAAAUAAGCUGAAAGCAGCCCAAAAUCACUGCAGCUGCAUGGCAUGGGCACCCAUGUAGACAUUCACCCUCAGAACAUCCUAGAGAGCUGUAAGAAGAACUAUUGCACUCACAGGUCCUGCUUAGGGGAGGGUCAAGCCUAAUGUACUUAAAGGUUAGGUGCAGGUUAAAGAAAUGAAGAGAUUUUCUAUUAUUCAAAGUUCGUGGGCUAGUUAAGGGGCUGCAUUUCUGUCUGAGAUCCUGUGGUAUGGACCGCUUCACUGGAAACAGCCGGUCAUGUGCCUUCUCCGGUUAGCUGGGAAAAAAUCAAAUAACUAAUGGGGUGCUGAACUGGGGGUACUCUGAUGGCACAUCUCUAGAGGUUCCUUAUUUGACCUUUGAGCUACAGGCCCCAUACCUUCUUCUAUAUUCUUCUAGCAAUAAUUCUGCUUUAUGCAUCAUGAAACAAAUCACUACCUGAGGAAUGGUAAAAAUUCCAGACUAUGUCUUUUAGAGACUAUGUCUUUUAGAGACUAUGUCUCUAAACCCACAAUUUCAUCACUAAUUUGGCUUUUCUAAGGUGGAAAAAUACAUGGCAUUGCAAUCCUGUAAAAGCACCAGGCUUUGCGUCAUAGGGAGCCUAGUUUUUCCCCUAAGCUUUUCAGAAAGUUAAUUUCUUUGUGUGCAACCUCCUAAAAACUGAAUAAGGAUGCUUUGGAGAAAGCCAAGCAGUCCAGUACCCUGUUAGGUACAGGGUACCAAAUUAGGUGGACUAUUGUUCUGGUCAGGAAUGGUCAUUCUGGGGGCCUGAGAAUCAGAACUGAUCUAGGCACAAAGCUUAAUAAACACUGUAAAUAACAGAAGAGGUUAGGGACCAGAGAGCACAGCUGGGGAAAGCCCCAAGUAGGGAAUUUAGGUGAAAUUUCACCUUCUUUUUGCUUAAAAAGAAAUACUGUGAAAAGAAUACUGUGAUGGUUAAAGAGGUCCUGGAUAUCGGAGGAGACAACAAAUGAUUGGACGAGAAGGUAAUAAAGUUCACAGUUCACAUGUAUGCAGCAUUGCUGGCUGAACUCAUGAACAAGAACUUAUGAGGAGAAGAGGUGUAGCCAGGGAUGACAGUGAGGGAAAUGGAGGAAUUUGGAGAUAUAACAGAGAAACUGAGCAGAAAGGGGUGGUGGCAAAGACAAUCAUCUGCCCAGCAAGAGGACUGGAAAGAUGGAUCCCUGACAGGAUGAAGAGAAGGACCAUGAAGAGACAUGACUGUGAGACCAGGAGAACAAAGAGGAAGAGACUGGCUUACAGCAGGAAAAUGGAGUAGAAGAAUAAAGAGUUUUUAGUGGAGAAGGAAGAGGAGAAGUAGAAAUAAAUAAAUUAAAAAAAAUUCACAGGAAUGGUUAUCAGGUCCAUAACAAGGUUAACGUGAUGAAAGGGGUAAGUGACAAGGUCCAAGGACAGAAAAAGUAACAUAUUGGAGAGCAAAAGAUAACAGAGGUAGAAUGAUCUGCUGGUAGGUGGACAAGCAGAACAGAGGGACUGAAGAGUCAUAUCCACAGUGGAAACUGUAGCAAAAUCUGCAUGGGACAGAUGAUACUGUCAUAUUGCUGCUGGAGUGGUGCAAGGAUGGUAUAACCGCCCUGAAUAAAGUUUUUGAAGAGCAGCAGAUCUAGAUCAUCAGUUAAAAUUAUCAAAACUGGAGAGAAAAAGGAUCAAACCAUGACAAGUCCAGGCAGUUGGACUAGACGAUCGUUGUAGGUCCCUUCCAAUUGAACUGUUCUGUUCUAUUCUAUUGUAUUCUAUUCUAAACGAAGGACUAGUGCUAGGAAGGAGUCACAGAGGUUCUGAAUAACCUAGGAGACGUUUAUAAAAUGAAGGAAGGUGAUGCUGGAUUCUGCCCAAUUAAUGAAAUUUGUACUGGUCAGGCUCUGGGAUUACUCGAGUUAAUGUUUAUAUUAGUGAGUGUAAAGCAAAAAGUCAGCUGCAUCUAAACUUUCAGAGAGUGAAGUUAAUGAAUCAGCUUAAUUAUGUUUAGAAAUAUAUGUAAUGGAAGAUAUGUAUAUAUAUAUGUAUGAAUAGUAGUGACUGCAACAAUUGUGAUGAUAAAUGAAUUAAAACUAGGGCUGAUCCAAAAUGGAAAAAGCUGUUGGUGAAAUGUAAGAUCCAGUAUCAUUCAGGAAAAACUGAAUGAGAGAAAAAAGUCUGCCCUGUCAAGAGAGUAUUUUGCAGGCAAAGAUGGCAAUUUACUUCAAGCUUCUGAAAGUUACAUUUAAUGUGUUUGUACAUAUUCAUUUAUCCAAAAAAUGUAGAAUCUUAUUCUCAUUGUUAAACAAAAACAUUAGAUGAUGAUAUUAACAAUUCUCUUGGCAGUGUAGAGGUUUGAAGGGCAAAUGAAAACGUUUCUUAGCAGAACUAGGCCCAAUUCUGGCAGGGAGAGACGAAAGAGUAGAAGUAAAACACAAGAUGUCUGAUAUUUAUGGUGACAGCCUUUGCUCUUUGGGCCUGGCAUCAUUCUGCAGAAAGUUUAGAGUUGUGUUUCUCCCAGUUUUUUAAACUCUAUUAUUCUGCGAUCAAAGACUUUUCAGACUACUAGCCCUCCUAAUUUGAAAGCCACCAUAAAUGGGAGACAGAGAAAUGACAGUCUCACAUUCUGAUAGUUCCCUCUGUCAUUGCUCUUCCUUGGUAAAAACAAAAAUCUGUGAUGAUAAAUAGUUUUAAGCAGUUGAAAUUAAAUCAAGCUUAUUAAAUCAGUAUCUCACUGUGUGGUAACUUAGUCACAAAUGCAUUCUGUUUGAAGAAGCAGUAAUUUAAAUAUUAACAGAUAUUAUUUUAUUGGGGUUUGCGUAUACUGUGUUACUGUCUAAAAAUGGAUUCUCAUGCUCCUUUUUUUUUUUUUCCAAGCACAUCUGUAAAGCAGCACUAAAGCUUUAAAAAAAAAAACCAAACAAAAAAAAAAACGCCAGAAAAUUGGAAGCAUAGGGCAAUGGAAAAUUGGAUUUUUUAGGUUUUCCCUGUACAGUAACUAGGAUUUCAUGCUAGGUCUGAUGAAUAAUUCCAUGGCUUUUAAACACAUUUUGGGAAGAUUCGCCACUCUGGAGAGCCAGAUACUGUGGAACUGGGGAUCUUAAAUUGAUUUAAAUGAUUAGUUGAAUCUUUUAAGUGGAUUUAAAGAAACACUAAUACAAAGUUUUCACAUUUUUCGUAUUGAUGAAA